GCAAGAAAAAGCUUCAUAUGACAGCCGCGGAUGGAAGGAGCUAAGCUACACAAGCAGGCCAGCUCUGGGACUGCAUUUCUUCUGCCUUUGUCACAGCUCCUUACUGCCUGGGGGUGGCAGGGCAAAAGCCCUUUCUCCAGAUGAAGAGGAACAAGGUUUACAAGGCACAGAAAUCCCAACCUAGCGCCUAAAGCUACGUGGCACUCUCCUGCCAACUGCCUUAAAGGUUCUCACGCAGAAGCCCAUGAACUGUCAACAUCCCAGAAACGACGGCUCUCAUCUGAAAACUUCAGAUUGCUUCAAGGAGACUGUCUCAUCUCCCUAGUUUACCUUUAACAUCUAUGAACACCAAUAUUCCUUUGUUAACAAAAGGACUGUCUCAGAGCUGUAGACUGAAAUCGGGCCCGAAUCAUUAACAAUGAUCUGUUUUAUUAAACAUAUUGAUUUUUGUCACUACCUUCUGCAUAUGGCAAGUGAAAGAAAUUUUAUAUUUACGGCAGAGACUUCAAUUUUUCUUUUGAAGUAAAUUCAAAUUUUAAAAGUGACUCGAUUAAAAACCUUUAGUAAACAGUCCUACAUGGUUGGUUGAUAUGGCCAAACCCACAAAGGUGAAAGCCGAAAGGCUUAAACGUGGGAAAUCCCGACUUUGGCAACACAGUAAAGAGUGCCUGGCAUACCUAAGCGCACAAUGAAUGUCAACUGUUAUCACCAUUACCAUCAUCGUCGCGUCGCCAUCAUCUAGAGGCUACAACGUGGGCCUGACGAUGUUGCAGCUACCGCGACAUUUUCCACAGAAGGAAACGGCCUGGAACCCCGGGGUUGGUUCUCCGAGGACGGAGAACCCUGGUUGGACUCCAGCCCAAAGACGCCUUCCGCGCUGUCCACACCUCAAUCCCAGAGCCCCCCUGCCCGCCCCGCCGCGGUCCCGAUCCCUU